rnacentral:tRNA from 1 species
GUGGGUUGGCUCAGUGGUUAGAGCGUAGGUCUCGUAACCGGAAGGUUGCGGGAUCGAAUCCUGCUAGAGGCUGACA